AUGUGCAAUGUGAACUAUUCUAGUCUAAUUUACAUGCUAAGUGGAUUGUUUUUAAAGUGUUAACAAAUAAAGAUUUCUAUAUAAGUCUAUAAGUUUACAUACAAGUUGUACUAUAUCUUAGUGUGGGAAACGCAACGAAAUAAAACAAUACUUCACUAUGCCGGUAAAAGAUCAACAAACCCAAAAGAGUUGAAUUUAAUUACCCCAACCUGCCACUAACCAUUUCUAUACCUUAUGCCUUCUUAAUAAGGUCUAAACAUAGUCAGCCAACAAUGUCACAGUCGCCAUCAGAUAUAUCCGACCGGCCGAGGUACUCAAAAUAUCUCAACACGCACUCUAACGCCUUGACAAUAGAGGCGUGUUCAGAUAUUUGUGAACACCCCGGUCGCUCCGAUAUAUCUGAUGGCGAUUGCAAUGCGAAAUUAACACUAAACAUUGUUGAACCUUAAGGCCUUCCAAUAAGGUAUACUGUCAGUUAAUAUAACAGUAUUAAAAGUAAGAGUAUGGCGUGAGACACGCGACGCUAUCGGUAAUGUACAGGGUUUUCACACGGAAAACAUUUGUUUGCUACGACAAAGUUCCAUCUCGGGAUUCACGCGGGUGAGAUAGGACCUUGUCAGUUUGAGUUGAAUGUUCAGUGCUACUGUUUUGUAGAGAUAUGAGUGAUAUGAUUGUUUUAUUCGAUAUACGUCAAAUUGGUGGACAGUGGACGUCCUCUUUUCCAUCAAACGUACAGUCACGUCUGAAAACAUCGAUACGAUCGAAGUGCCAAAAAUAUGUAUACACGACUUUAUGGCCCAUAUAUUAGGUAAGUAAGUAAGUAAGUAAGUAAGUAAGUAAGUAAGUAAGUAAGUAAAUAUUCUUUAUUGCACCAACAAUUAUACAUUUUACAUACAUGUAAAACUACAAAUGAAUUUUAAAGGAAAAUAGAACCAGGUAACAACAGGCGGUCUUAUCGCUAAAAAGCGAUCUCUUCCAGACAACCUUUAGGUAGCAGGAAAUUUCGAACUCAUACAAAAGUCAACAGGUAGUGCAAGGAGCUAAAUAUGGUGACUAUUAAAUACAAACACACAUA